rnacentral:rRNA from 1 species
CGCUCCUUGAAAAAUUAACGUUGAUAAAUAAGGAGUCCUGCCUGCCCGGUGACUCAGUUGAGUUAAACGGCCGCGGUAUUUUGACCGUGCAAAGGUAGCAUAAUCACUUGCCCUUUAAUUGGGGGCUGGUAUGAAUGGCAAGACGGAAAUUAGACUGUCUCCCCACCAACUACUCCGAAUCUGAUGUCUCCGUGAAGAAGCGGGGAUAAUGUCGUAAGACGAGAAGACCCUGUCGAGCUUUAAUGAGCGGUCUCUUCGCUGGUGAGCGUUGUACUGGCUAAUUUAUGGUGCUUACAAGGCCAGAAGUUAUUUUACCAGUCAGGGCUAGUAGAAGUACACCAGACUUGUUUUGGUUGGGGCAACCGCGGAGAACAGAUAUCCUCCGCUAAACUUAUGUUAAAAGUUACUACUUUGACUCCAGAAAUUUUUUGUCCGGUUUGAUCCGCCUGUGUUAAGGCGACAAAAGGAAAAAGUUACCGCAGGGAUAACAGCGUAAUUUUCUUGGAGAGUUCAUAUUGAUAAGGGAGUUUGCGACCUCGAUGUUGGAUCGGGAUAUCCUAGAAAUGCAGCCGUUUCUGAGGGUUGGUCUGUUCGACCAUUAAAAUCCU